UACGUAGGCAGCAAGCGUUGUUCGGAGUUACUGGGCGUAAAGGGUGUGCAGGCGGCUGUCCAAGUUUGGUGUGAAAUCUCCCGGCUCAACCGGGAGGGUGCGCCGAAAACUGGGCGGCUAGAGUGUGGGAUGGGUAAGUGGAAUUCCUGGUGUAGCGGUGAAAUGCGUAGAUAUCAGGAGGAACACCGGUGGUGUAGACGGCUUACUGGACCAUAACUGACGCUGAGACACGAAAGCGUGGGUAGCAAACAGG
rnacentral:rRNA from 1 species